rnacentral:rRNA from 1 species
AGCGAACGCUGGCGGCAGGCCUAACACAUGCAAGUCGAACGAACCUUUCGGGGUUAGUGGCGGACGGGUGAGUAACACGUGGGAACGUGCCUUUAGGUUCGGAAUAACUCAGGGAAACUUGUGCUAAUACCGAAUGUGCCCUUCGGGGGAAAGAUUUAUCGCCUUUAGAGCGGCCCGCGUCUGAUUAGCUAGUUGGUUGAGGUAAUGGCUCACCAAGGCGACGAUCAGUAGCUGGUCUGAGAGGAUGAUCAGCCACAUUGGGACUGAGACACGGCCCAAACUCGUACGGGAGGCAGCAGUGGGGAAUCUUGCGCAAUGGGCGAAAGCCUGACGCAGCCAUGCCGCGUGAAUGAUGAAGGUCUUAGGAUUGUAAAAUUCUUUCACCGGGGACGAUAAUGACGGUACCCGGAGAAGAAGCCCCGGCUAACUUCGUG